rnacentral:lncRNA from 1 species
AACUCUUUUUAUGCUUGAAAGAGUGAUAGUAGAUAUGAAUUUCACAUCUAGACUUUAAACAGCCAUAACUCUCUCAUUGCGGACUCAAAGUUAAUAACCCUUUCACAAAAAUUGUAGUCCUUCAAACCAGCUUUCCAACGACACCUUUUGUUUUCCAAAAAACCUUCUACAACUUUCUGUAUGCUUAAAAGAGUGACAGUCGGUAAACAAUUCACACCCUAACUUCAAACAACCUUAACUUCAUACAAAACUCAAAUAACAAAAUUUAUACACAAAAGUUAUAGCCCAAAACACAAGCUUUCUGAAUCUCUCCUCUAAAUCCUCGAAAUCCCUCGAAGAAGUGGCCUCUCUUUCGGUUUUCUCUCGGACAGCCACUUGAAGCUCAUUGGUCAUGUCCUAUAGCCAAUGAGAGUGAAGAUCC